AUAUAACAAACAUCCGGAGUUUAUGGUCCAUUUUGCUUCUCUCAAAAAUGAAUAUGAUUGAGUUAAAAGGGAGCAGUGAUCAUCAUCCACUUAUCAGUUCAUUGCAUGCAUUACAUUCUAUUUUAUUUCUCCAAUAAGAAUCAGUCAGAUAACUUCAUGUGCAUGUGCAAUCAUGCUGAAAAAGUAUGAACUGGACAACCACCAGGACUCAUAAUUAAAGACAAUUCAAACAUGCUGAAAACUUCAACCAAGUAUCGGAGUGUCUAUGAUGUAGUAUUUGAUGUAAAUCCUGUUUCAAUGUAGCCUAUUUUCCCUUCCUUAGUCUCACCCUGUAUACAUGUAAGACCUCAUGUGCACCUUCGAGCUACUGUACCUGUGUAACAGCUUGUGACUACAGUCAGAGCAACAGGUUACCUGAACUCCAAAGCUGGUAACAGAGUCCUAUGAUCUCAGGUCAUCGUACUGGCUGUGUGACUGGAAUUCAUACUUCAGUCUUGCAUUUUCUGCUACAGUUCAGGCCAAAUGUUUACAUACACCCAAUUUUCACAGCACAAUUCAGGUAACCACACAUUUCCUGAAUAGUUUAUUGAUACCUGUUACGUCCCAUAUUAUUAUUUGUUUCUGGGAAUGGUGUUUUGUUUUUGUUUUCUUCCCUUUGCUCUUUCUGUGUCUUAACUUUUGUUUUAGCAGGGUGAUGCUGGUACCUGCGUGGUCAAUUUGUGUCUGCCAAUCACCGUGACGCGUGGUGACGACAACGCGCGGAUUCACCAAUGAGGGCGCCCUACUGGUGAUUGAAGGGCACACCUAUGCAGGAGGCGGGAGCUCUCUGGCACGCCACAUUAUUUUGUUGUUUGGUGCUUGGCUCGCGUGUUUUGUUUUACCUUGUACCAUCCUUGUGUUAAUUUCCGUUAGUUAAGUCUGUGUUCUCUGAUGAAUCAUUGUUAAUGGCCCAGUUGAUCUUGUCUCUCUGGUGUUUCCUGACGUUUCUGUUGUCUGGUUGAUAAAAUGACAUUACUAAACGGGGAAAGAGAUAAAGACCAGGAGAAACUGCAGUGAGUGGAGAGGUGAGCGGCUGAAUCCUGUCUCUGACCUUCCAACGACAGGCCCAGAGCACUGCUGAGUCAGAGGCCCUGGUCAGAAGCAUCCACACAGCCAAACAGCCCCUUAAAACAGCUGGAUCAUCGACUCUCUUGACUUGCCAACACCGAUCCAUUUCACUGGCCCAGAUAAGCAAACAGAAGCUCCUCAAAGGUCCUAACGGCUGAGGUGUUGCUGUUCCAGCCAGGCAAAGUCUCAUACUGGACCUCGACCUUAUGUAACACCUCCUGAUUUGCUGCCAAAAUGAAGUCUCUUUAGGCAUCUUUAUGGAAUUCUAGUACUUUUUGACAAAACCACUCAUAAGCAAACCGUUACAGGACCUGACAUGCAAUUUUUUAUAUACGCUUGAAAGUGUCAUAUUGUUAAAAAAAUUAAUCCAUUGGGGUUUUUUCACCAUGUGAAUGUUUAAAAAGAAAAGAAAUUCCCUCAGGUGGUGAGA